rnacentral:rRNA from 1 species
GACGAACGCUGGCGGCGUGCUUAACACAUGCAAGUCGAGCGGUAAGGCCUUUCGGGGUACACGAGCGGCGAACGGGUGAGUAACACGUGGGUGAUCUGCCCUGCACUUCGGGAUAAGCCUGGGAAACUGGGUCUAAUACCGGAUAUGACCUCCUAUCGCAAGGUGGGUGGUGGAAAGAUUUAUCGGUGCAGGAUGGGCUCGCGGCCUAUCAGCUUGUUGGUGGGGUAAUGGCCUACCAAGGCGACGACGGGUAGCCGACCUGAGAGGGUGACCGGACACACUGGGACUGCGAAAAGGCCCAGACUUCUACGGGAGGCAGCAGUGGGGAAUAUUGCACAAUGGGAGAAAGCCUGAUGCAGCGACGCCGCGUGAGGGAUGACGGACUUCGGGUUGUAAACCUCUUGCAGCAGGGACGAAGCGCAAGUGACGGUACCUGGAGAAGAAGCACCGGCUAACUACGUG